GCGGAAGUAGUUCAGUGGUAGAACAUCACCUUGCCAAGGUGGGGGUCGCGGGUUCGAACCCCAUCUUCCGCUCCA
rnacentral:tRNA from 1 species